UACGUAGGUGGCGAGCGUUGUCCGGAAUUACUGGGUGUAAAGCGCGUGUAGGCGGCAGGCCAAGUCGGUGGUGAAAGCGCCCGGCUCAACUGGGCGAGGUCCAUGGAAACUGGUCAGCUGGAGGACGGUAGAGGCGAGUGGAAUUCCCGGUGUAGUGGUGAAAUGCGUAGAGAUCGGGAGGAACACCUGUGGCGAAGGCGGUUGCCUGGGGCUUUGCUGACGCUGAUGCGCGAAAGCGUGGGGAGCGAGUCCGGU
rnacentral:rRNA from 1 species